rnacentral:lncRNA from 1 species
GGUUACCUGAUCUUGAGGUAUCUGAAAUGAUAAAUAAUUUAUUAAAAUAUAAUUUGUAUCUUAUAUAUUGAUUCUUUAAUAGUUUCCUUAGCUAAAUUUACACCUGUAAUUUAUAUAAAUUUACUUCUUGAUUUAUGUUUUUAUAGCUAGUGUGUCAUAAAUUCCUGCAGAAAACUCAAAUAGCUCUAAAUACUAUGAGGCAGGCCAUACAUACAUAUACCAUCAUUAUUGUUAUAUUUUUGUAAACAAAAGACUUUUCAAGAAUCGUCAAUAAAAUAAAAGUUUCAUGAAUACAGUUUUGUCAGAAUGCAAUUUUGUAGCUACAUUUAAUAGGAAAAAGACUAUGCAGAAUUUGUAAAUUGCUAAAAAACAUGGGAAUUGGAUGACAGAUGGUAUAGGAUAUUGUAAGUAGGUAUAUAGAGACAGGCAGUGUUAUUGACAAAAAAAGGUUCAAUAGAUCAAAAACGAAAAGAAUGCCGUUAAUGCUUUGCAUGCAUGAAUUUGAAAAAAUUUCUUUUGGUUUCCGUAAUGUAACAAAAAGAAAUUGGCUCUGCAAAUGACAUGUCAAAAGUCAACAGUUUGGAGGGCCCUGAAACAAGAUCUUAAGUUUAAAGCUUUAAAACAAGGGACAUACCAUUUAUUUAAGUAUUGGCAAAAGAAGAAUCAAGUUGAGAGAAAUUGGGCAUUAUUCAAGUGGUACUCUUGUGAUAGUUACAAAAACAUUCUAUCAUUGAUGAUAAUGAUUUCACUAUCGAUCAAAAGAUUAAUAAAUA